GGUUUCACUGUGUAGUCCUGGCUGUCCUGGAACUCCCCCUGUAGACCAGGCUGGCCUUUAACUCAGAGAUCCGCCUGCCUCUGCCUCCCGAGUGCUGGGAUUAAAGGUGUGCGCCUCCAAUGCCAG
rnacentral:miRNA from 1 species